GAUGAACGCUGGCGGCGUGCCUAACACAUGCAAGUCGAACGGAGUCCAGCCUUUAAGACCUUCGGGUCAAAGAGGGGAAGACUGAGUGGCGGACGGGUGAGUAACACGUGGGCAACCUGGCUCAUAGAGGGGGAUAACAGAGAGAAAUUUCUGCUAAUACCGCAUAAGCACACACUGCCGCAUGGCAGAGGGUGAAAAGAGAAUCGCUAUGAGAUGGACCCGCGUCUGAUUAGCCAGUUGGCAGGGUAAGAGCCUACCAAAGCGACGAUCAGUAGCCGAUCUGAGAGGCUGAACGGCCACAUUGGGACUGAGACACGGCCCAGACUCCUACGGGAGGCAGCAGUGGGGGAUAUUGCACAAUGGGGGGAACCCUGAUGCAGCGACGCCGCGUGAGUGAAGAAGUAUUUCGGUAUGUAAAGCUCUAUCAGCAGGGAAGAUAAUGACAGUACCUGAAUAAGAAGCCCCGGCUAACUACGUG
rnacentral:rRNA from 1 species